UGGGGAAUAUUGCACAAUGGGGGAAACCCUGAUGCAGCAACGCCGCGUGAGUGAUGAAGGUUUUCGGAUCGUAAAGCUCUGUCUUUGGGGAAGAUAAUGACGGUACCCAAGGAGGAAGCCACGGCUAACUACGUGCCAGCAGCCGCGGUAAUACGUAGGUGGCGAGCGUUAUCCGGAUUUACUGGGCGUAAAGGGAGCGUAGGCGGAUGAUUAAGUGGGAUGUGAAAUACCCGAGCUCAACUUGGGUGCUGCAUUCCAAACUGGUUAUCUAGAGUGCAGGAGAGGCAAGCGGAAUUCCUAGUGUAGCGGUGAAAUGCGUAGAUAUUAGGAGGAACACCAGUGGCGAAGGCGGCUUGCUAGACGAUGACUGACGUUGAGGCUCGAAAGCGUGGGGAGCAAACAG
rnacentral:rRNA from 1 species